AUGGAAAAAAUGAAGAACGCGCCGGUACCAGAAGGUGAAGAGCCAAAGUCUGUUGUUGAAAUUGUCGAAGAAGUGCUCAAGACUGAAGUCAAGAAAAGCACAUUCCUCAGGAAUGUUGGGCUCCAGUCAUCUAGGAACAACUCCGGCAAAGAAACUACUGAAGUGGUUGCUCAUGUUCGUGACAUUAGCAGAAGCUGGAGAGGUCCGAGCUUCAAGCUGAAGUGA
rnacentral:rRNA from 1 species